AGAGUUUGAUCCUGGCUCAGGAUGAACGCUGGCGGCGUGCCUAACACAUGCAAGUCGAACGGGAAGCUUGAAUUCGUUUAAGCUGAGAGUGGCGCACGGGUGAGUAACACGUAGCUUGUCUGCCUUAGAGUACGGGAUAACGCACCGAAAGGUGUGCUAAUACCGUAUAAGCUCACGAUGACUAGAGAUUUGUGAGAAAAGCUCCGGCGCUCUAAGAUGAGGCUGCGGUCCAUCAGCUAGUUGGUGAGGUAAAGGCUCACCAAGGCGACGACGGAUAGGGGGCCUGAGAGGGCGGACCCCCACACUGGAACUGAGACACGGUCCAGACUCCUACGGGAGGCAGCAGUGAGGAAUAUUGCUCAAUGGGCGCAAGCCUGAAGCAGCGACGCCGCGUGGGCGAUGAAGGUUUUCGGAUCGUAAAGCCCUUUUCUUGGUGACGAGGAAGGACGGUAGCCAAGGAAUAAGUGUCGGCUAACUACGUGCCAGCAGCCGCGGUAAAACGUAGGACGCAAGUGUUAUCCGGAAUUACUGGGCGUAAAGCGCGUGUAGGCGGAUAUUUAAGUCAACCGUGAAAGCUCCCGGCUAAACUGGGAGAGGUCGGGUGAUACUGAAUAUCUUGAGGGUGAUAGAGGGAUGUAGAAUUCCGGGUGUAGUGGUGAAAUGCGCAGAUAUCCGGAGGAAUACCAGAGGCGACGCGGCAUCCUGGGUCACACCUGACGCUGAGACGCGAAAGCAUGGGUAGCGAACGGGAUUAGAAACCCCGGUAGUCCAUGCCGUAAACGAUGUACACUAGAUGUUCGAUUUGCUACGGUGAAUUGAGUGUCGAAGCUAACGCGCUAAGUGUACCGCCUGGGGAGUACGGUCGCAAGGCUAAAACUCAAAGGAAUUGACGGGGACCCGCACAAGCAGCGGAGCGUGUGGUUUAAUUCGAGGCUACGCGAAAAACCUUACCUGGGUUUGACAUCCUGUGAACGAAUCUGAAAAGAGGAGGUUCCUUCGGGACACAGAGACAGGUGCUGCAUGGCUGUCGUCAGCUCGUGUCGUGAGAUGUUCGGUUAAGUCCGCAAACGAGCGCAACCCUCGGAACUAGUUACAAGUGUCUAGUUCGACUGCUCUCGACAAGAGGGAGGAAGGUGGGGAUGAUGUCAAGUCAGCAUGGCCUUUAUAUCCAGGGCUACACACACGCUACAAUGGUGCAUACAAUGGGUAGCCAAGCCGCGAGGUGGAGCCAAUCCUAAAAAGUGUAUCGUAGUUCGGAUUGCAGGCUGCAACUCGCCUGCAUGAAGUCGGAGUUGCUAGUAACCGCAAAUCAGCACGUUGCGGUGAAUACGUUCCCGGGUCUUGUACACACCGCCCGUCACGUCAUGGAAGCUGGUCACGCCUAAAGUCGGGAAGCUAACCGUAAGGAGGCAACUGCCUAAGGCAGGGCUGGUGACU
rnacentral:rRNA from 1 species